UCACCCUAUUACACACCGGCGUAACACUACCACCUUUCGCCGUCCGCCGGCCGGCCGGAAAUUACCUCUGCCAGCGGCGAUGCUUCGAUGGCCACCAAAAUUACACCACCCCACCUUCUCGACCUCAUCUUUCCAUCCCUGCUAUUAGUGUCUUUUGAAUGUCAACUGAACUCGUCGAAUAUCAGUUUGAAUCAAUGACUGCUCCGCUACCUACGGCGGCACCGAUGCCAAUCGCCUCCAAACUAACACCCUAUAUUCUCUUAAUCUCUCUCAUCCUAAAUCUGUAAGCCUUAGCCUUCGAAUGUUAGCCCAGCUCCUCGAAUUUCAAUUUGAAAAUCUGGUCAAAAACUCACCAUCCUCCAAACCCUCCCAAAAUCGUACCACAUGGUCUCCUCAACCACCUCAGACCAAUUCCUAAACCAAAAUCCCUCGAACUCGAGUGGAAUCCCUUAGAUUUUAAAUCUAGAGUUCGAUUUGGGAAGGAAUCUGCCUUGCCAGGUUUGCAUGUAUUCGAUUGAUCCUCCAGUUAAUAUUAUGUGUUCAUUUUGGCAAAAUGAACAUAUAAUAUUAGUUGGGGACCAAUCCCAGAGUCAAUCCAAGUUUCAACCGAAAUCAGUACAAGUUCUGAACCUUGGAUGAUGUAGUGUCUAAUUUGAGCGAUGAAAUGGAAGUUUAUGGCUCAUUCGACUUUGUUCCUUGCUUGCUGCUCAUUUUUUUGCACUUGUUCAUAGUAUAGUUUAGUUAAAUUUUGAGUAAUAUAGUAUUGUAACUAAUUUGGACAGCUAGAUCCUCUGAAACUAUAUGAAUAUAAUAUUGUUAGUUGGUUGAAAGCUGUUUGAAUAGUUGAACGUUAUUUGAGUAGUUGGAUGAUUAGAUUAGUUGGUUGUUGUAAUUUGUUCACCAUGUGCUGUUAAAUCUAGGAUUCAAAGUAGUGCAUUAAAAGUCAAAACAAUGUGAUAUUCCAGAUUCAUGUUGUAUUACAUAUUAGUUUGGAGUAAUGUUGUAUUGUGGUCCGGGCCUGGCCCAGGACCGGCCCAGGACCGCGGUCAUAACGGGCCUAGUGGGCCGGUUCUGGUGGGCAUGGGUCUAGUGGUGCAAAAGCCCAUGGUGGGCUAGUUCAGGACAAAAAGCCCGUGAGCCCUAGACUGUUAGACCCGGGACCUCCCAGGCGGGCCUGGGCCGGUUCAACCGGGCCUAGCGGGCCUAACGGGGCUCCAACAGUAAUUCUUUUUUUAAAAAAAAUUGUUUAAAAAUUGGCCAACGGUCAAAUUUUUAAAAUCUAGCCGUUGGCCUUCAAAAUUGAUCCGUUGGCCACUUUAGAAAAUAGUCAUUUGGCCCCCAAAUUUUAUAUAGUUAUACUUUUUCCCAAUUCUCAACUACAAAUACCCCCUCAUUCUUUUAUUUUUA